rnacentral:lncRNA from 1 species
GUUUUUUGUGUACGCACCUACUGCAGAAUGUCUGCAGGAGAACAGAGUUGGAUUUAACUGAGUAACGUUUCUGUUCUCCAUGUUUGUGUUACAGCCCCUUUCAGGAGGUCAGAUAGAUCAAGGGAAUCAUUCAGGCCAUACUGGAGACACCAUGGCACCUUUUCCUCCAGCAGGAACUCAUUCUUGCCACUGAAGCACAGAGCGUUUCCCCACAGAGAAAUUGAAGACAUCCUGAAAGAAAUGUCCUACACACCUUUUCAAGAGCAAGGUGAUUGUUUUCUGAGAUACUGGGAUGCUAGCAAUGAGUGGAUCAGACAACGUAUCUGUCAGGUGUUGAUCAGAAACAUCAGGAGGGAUUUUCUGACUUUCUGUAAACUGGCAGAGCUGGAGAGCUUGGAGCUGAGAGUAAGAAAUCUCAUCCAAUGCAACAGCUCUGCUUCUAACAAGGAGCUUUGCAUUCAGAAGGAGAAACUAUAUUGUUGGAUUCUGGCAGCAAUGUUUGUUCAUGUCUCCACAACAAACAAUGUGAAGCUGAAGGCUCUGCUGAGGGGAAUAGUCUUUGCAAAAUGCACUGUUCCUUCAGGGGAGAGAAAUUAUGAGCAUCUGUGCCUUAGUGCCUACCAGAAAAUCAGAGCAGCCAUCUCCACUGCUAUAAAGAAACAAAGGCCUUGGUCAAAUUUCAUAGAAACAUAUCUGAAGCACUUGGAAAGUUUCCUUAGGACACUGGAGGAAAGAGUGACUUUCACAAAUCAGAGGGUCCUGCAGUUCCAGUCCAUCCAGAAGCAGCUUCAGAGAGUACCCUGGAUGAUAAGACACGUCUUUAUUCUUGUUAUUACCGAAAAGGUGUUUGAAGCCAAACUGCUUGCAGUUAGCCAGUCCUUCUUCCUCUAUGUGUGCACAAAGUUGGGGAAAAAUCACUGGGAGAUUUUACUGGAAAUCACUGAACGCAUCACCGAACAUAUCCAAGCCAGCCACACACAAGGGGCAGUAACAGAGUGCCUGAAUCUUCUCCAAAGCCUGUGGGAGUGGUGCAUGAGAACUGCCACUAAAGAGAAGAAGCCUUUGGUGGGAGACAAGGAACGAGAGCUCUUCAGAUCCGGGCCAAGCUGUCUAAUUUCCUCCAGGCCAGGCUGGCCCCUCCAGAGGAUGAGAAAUAUUAUUCAGCUAGUGAUUGUCCUUAUGAAACCAUCAAAUCCUCACAGCUCACAGGUAGAGACAGU